AUGCCCCUGGUGUACUGGAGUCCGGACUCGGGAUCCCUGGCUUAUCCCUGUGUGUGGGAGAAAUUGGUCACAAAUAUGGAGCUCCCUUUAUCAAUAAGGAACACAGUCAAAACUGCCAGUCAGACAAAUAGACACACAACUCACACACAACAUAAUAGAUAUACAGGUAGACUAACAGGUAAACUUACAGAUGGACGAACAGACAGACAGAUGGAAGCCCUUGUGUUCAUUCCAGGGCCCCCCUCACCUACAGCCAUCCGUCCCUGGUCCAGGAACUGGACAAUCACAUUGCACAGAGAAAUUCAAGCAGAACUUCAAACUUCAAGAGGGCAGAAAGUCAGAAGAAAAACCAGACGAAGUACAGUACGACAUCUUCACCGCACCGAAGGACGCCAUCUAUUUUAUCCAUGGCCAGGUGAACAGAGCAGACGGCAAGGGGAAAGUCUACCUGUUUUGGAAACACAUUAG
rnacentral:lncRNA from 1 species